rnacentral:rRNA from 1 species
CUACGGGGGGCUGCAGUGGGGAAUAUUGGACAAUGGGGGAAACCCUGAUCCAGCAAUGCCGCGUGUGUGAAGAAGGCCUGCGGGUUGUAAAGCACUUUCGGUUGGGAGGACUGCUUCUAGCACUAAUAUUGUUGGAAGUUGACGUUACCUUCAGAAGAAGCACCGGCUAACUCCGUGCCAGCAGGCCGCGGUAAUACGGAGGGUGCAAGCGUUAAUCGGAAUUGCUGGGCGUAAAGCGCGCGUAGGCGGCUAGAUCAGUCGGGUGUGAAAGCCCCGGGCUUAACCUGGGAACUGCAUCCGAUACUGGCUAGCUUGAGUACAGGAGAGGAGAGUGGAAUUCCACAUGUAGCGGUGAAAUGCGUAGAUAUGUGGAGGAACACCAAUGGCGAAGGCAGCUCUCUGGCCUGAUACUGACGCUGAGGUGCGAAAGCGUGGGGAGCAAACAGGAUUAGAUACCCCGGUAGUC